CAAGAAAAUCGUUUGUCUGUUUUUUUUUCACAAACAACUGCAUAAUAUCGCAAUACAUUUUUGUAUCAAUUUUGACAUAGGAAAUCGCACGUUUGCUGUCUGUCAUAUACGUUUUUUCGUUUAUGGUUGAUUUUGCAUACAUCAUGCCGUAGAUUUUCUCGUUCGAAUUGUUUUAAAUUUCGUCAGGUUGAGGCUUUAUAUAUCCUUGAUAUGGUGUCUUCCUGGAAUCCCUUUAUUUUAUGAAAAAUCUACUCCGGCUCCCGUUUUCACCAGUUACGCGAAAGACAAUUGCGCUACCAACACAAUAAACAUUUGCGCUUUAAAUCAUAAUACAUCUGGACCGGACAUUUGCGCUUUUUCUAUGAUAGUUUAACAAUCAUAUUACGCGCGUUUCGUCUACAUAAGACUCAUCAGUGACCCUCAUAUCAAAAUAUUUAUUUACAAGUACAAAGUUGAAGAGCAUUGAGGAUCCAAAAUUCCAAAACGUUGUGCCAAAUACGGCUAAGGUAAUUUAUGCCUGGGAUAAGAAAAUCCUUAGUUUUUCGAAAAAUUCAAAGUUUUGUAAACAAGAAAUUUAUAAAAAUGACCACAUUAUUGAUAUUCA
rnacentral:lncRNA from 1 species